UUUGAAUUUUGUAAGUGCUUUAAUAAUUUAUAUGAUUAUGUUGCAUAUUCUUUAGAUCAGUUUUAGUUUAGUAGUACUUGAAUCGUUAAGGAUUCGAGUUGUCACAAUUUUAGUUUGUUUUUAUUUGAUUUUCAAGUGCAUUGAAUGAAUUCGACGAGCAUGGUGUUCUUUUUAUUAUGCAUCUCACAACAUCUCCAUUAACCUUUCAGGGAAAAAUCCUUAUAGAUGGAAUAGGAUUAUGUUGACGUCAAUACAUGUAAAUGAAGUUUCAGAAAGUAAGAAAUUUCAUCCUACUGGGUGGAUAGAUAAGAGGGAUGGGUGGAUUAUUGUGGUUAGACGUCUGAGCUGAUAUUUAAAACUUGAUUUGGAAUUUAUCUAACUUUAACAGAUUCUAUCUCUUGCACUUACCUUUAACAAUUCUCACCAUUAGUUUUUGAUAUUGGAAAUGUUAAUUUGCAUCUCUUAUAGAAAAGAGGAUCAGCAUCCUGUCUUCAACUUCCGCUUGAAUUCAUAGGGAUAGGAAGUGUAGCUAAUUGAGACUAGUGAGAGCCUUUUUUUCCUUUUCAUCUCAGCCUUUGGUUCAUUCCAGUCUUCAUCUUGAUUGAGGUAAUUUAUUUAUUUUUUGAUAAUCGUGAGUGUCCAGGCUAACUUACUCGAAUCUCAACUCAUCCCACAGGACCCUGAAAUUUACAAUUGGGUACUCACCUCAGUGGUCCUAAGGGGACUUGAACUGGUGAUCAUUGGGGGAGCAAAUUCAAGAUCUGACCACUGAACUGCCCGUCAGGUAUAAUUGACUGCGGUAUUUAUUAAAAAUCAUGUUAGUUGUACCUAAAGUUGUAAAUUGUUUGUUCAAG
rnacentral:lncRNA from 1 species